UCCCUGGAGGUCUAGUGGCUAAGACUUUGUGCUUUCAAUGCAGAAGGCACCAGGGUUCAGUCCCUGGUCAGGGAA
rnacentral:tRNA from 1 species